UUGACCUCAAAUCAGGUGGGACUACCCGCUGAACUUAAGCAUAUCAAUAAGCGGAGGAAAAGAAACUAACAAGGAUUCCCUUAGUAACUGCGAGUGAAGUGGGAAGAGCUCAAAUUUGAAAUCUGGCAGUCUCUGGCUGUCCGAGUUGUAAUCUAGAGAAGUGUUGCCCGCGCUGGACCGUGUACAAGUCUCCUGGGAUGGAGCGUCAUAGAGGGUGAGAAUCCCGUCUCUGACAUGGACUACCAGGGCUUUUGUGGUGCGCUCUCAAAGAGUCGAGUUGUUUGGGAAUGCAGCUCAAAAUGGGUGGUAAAUUCCAUCUAAAGCUAAAUAUUGGCGAGAGACCGAUAGUGAACAAGUACCGUGAGGGAAAGAUGAAAAGAACUUUGGAAAGAGAGUUAAACAGUACGUGAAAUUGCUGAAAGGGAAACGCUU
rnacentral:rRNA from 1 species